rnacentral:lncRNA from 1 species
CGUUGCUGGAGGCACCUAUGGGCUUGCCUCUGCAGCUUACUGGUUUCCCAAGUCACAUAGAGCUUCCAGCACCUGCAAGGUGUCCUGGUGGGCUGACUUCAGUAAUCACCGUGUUUUGUCUCAGAAGACUUCCUGUGUUAGCACCUUAUAAAUGUGGUGUGGAGGCACGGCCCUGCCCAGCUAGGGAAGAGAUAGAACAGCUCCUUUGGAUUGGCAGGGUUGCCCCGCUCCACCCUCCCAACGUGCAGAACCAGUUGUGGGGAGGUGACCAGGGCUCUCCAGGAGGGAAAGGAUGAGUCCCCAACCCCUGCCCCCCGCCAGUCCAACUGGGGAGAGUAGGGUGGCAGGAUCCCAUGCUCCAUUGAUGGCAAGAAGGGCAACAAGGGCCUGAAGACUUCCAGACCCAGGCCAAGUAGCCAGGGUGGGGUCUGGAAGAUGAGCCGAACUGACAGUGCCAUCUAAAACAGUCUGAUCCAGGGCUGUCACCUGGGCAGGGUGUUGGGACCCCAGGUAACUGGUCCCUGAAAGGCAGCAAAGAGUGAUCCCACCUCAGUUCUCUUCCCUCUUGUCUUGGAUCAGGACUGACCUCUGUGUCUCACUGACAGAGCCUUGGGGUUCCUGGAGUUUGGAGUGCUCCCCAGCUAAGAGGUCACAUGGAGACCUGAGGAGCCACAGGAAAUGUGAAGGGAUGCCUCAGCGCUCACACCCCACAUCUGGGAAGGGGUCUUUCCACCGGAGCGGCAGGAAGGGCCACGUUGGUUACAGGUUGAAAGACUGGGUCCAGACAGCUUGAGCACUACCUAGGAAUGAACAGGCACACCUUGAUCCAGAAGGAGAGAAAAGACACUCCAAGAACCUGCGUUCUCACACCCUUGUCCACAGCCAGUGCUGGGCACCAGGCAGACCCCACCGGUGAGAAGGUCUCUGAGUCCAGGCCUAGUGCAAGCGGGCCCUGGGAAAAGUGGCCGAGCAGCACAGAAUGCAGUUUCAAAACAGUCUGCCCUGCAGCCAGGCCAGUGCUUAAGGCAGCCCGGCUUAAGAGAACUUUCCCUAAGCAUGGGGGCAUUUCCCGUCUGCUGUCCAUUCCCCGACUGCAACACACAGGUAGACUCCGAAAUAUGGCUGUGUAAGUGACAGCUGUGCUUAAUUUAAAUAUAAACAGGCACACACGCAAAGGCUGCGGUACUUGCUAGCUCAUCCUUGAAGCUCCUGGGCUCUAUUAACACCGCGUGCCAGACACCAGCCAACUGUCUGACUCGCGAGUAGGUGGGUCGGGGACAUCACUCCCAGGGCCUGCACCCAGAAGAGACGGUCAGCGCCGAGUUCCCGACAUUGCACUCCCCGGACACAGACC